AUCUCUGUAGAGUCUGCAUAUCAAUAAGCGGAGGAAAAGAAACUAACUAGGAUUCCCUCAGUAACGGCGAGUGAAGCGGGAAGAGCUCAAAUUUGAAAUCUUCAAGGUUUUACCUUGACGAAUUGUAGUUUAAAGAAGUGUUUUCUGUUGGUGUUUUGGUAAAAGUUCUUUGGAAUAGGACAUCAUAGAGGGUGAGAAUCCCGUAUUUGACCAUUACUUCCAGCGUUGUGAUACACUUUCAAAGAGUCGGAUUGUUUGGGAAUGCAGUCCAAAAUGGGUGGUAAAUUUCAUCUAAAGCUAAAUAUUGGCGAGAGACCGAUAGCGAACAAGUACCGUGAGGGAAAGAUGAAAAGAACUUUGAAAAGAGAGUUAAACAGUACGUGAAAUUGUCAAAAGGGAAGCGUUUGACACCAGUGUUGUUUUCUCGAAAAUCAAUUAAAAAUGGUGGGAUUUUGUGUUGUAUUGACUUUAUCAGCUUUCAGCACUCUUUUUCUUGUCUUUUUUAAUGCACUUUUCGUUUAACAAGUCAACAUCAGUUUCUUUUGUUGUAAAAAGGUCAUUGGAAGGUGGCUUUCUUUUCGGAGAAAGUGUUUAUAGCCUUUGACUCCUGCAAUCGGAGAGACUGAGGUCUGCAGCGUAGAUCCUUUUUGGAUUAGAUUCAUUUGUGCUAAGUUAUAGCUUUUUAUAGACAACAUGUUGACUAUAUUUAGUCAUGUAACUUACUCGCUUAUGUAAUUUUACCUACGCUUAGGAUGUUGAUCUCUCACAGUCGAGC
rnacentral:rRNA from 1 species